GACUGCGUAGCUCAGUUGGCAGAGCGUUGGGCUAGUAUGCCAAAGGUCGUAGGUUCGAUUCCCACCGUGACCA
rnacentral:tRNA from 1 species